GGGUCAGUAGGUUGGUCGUGCCACCGGUACGUACUGGUCUCACUGAUUCCUCCUUCCUGAAGAACCGUAAUGCCAUUAAUUUGGUGUUGCGGGGAAACAGGACUGUUAUUUUGAAAAAAUUAGAGUGUUUAAAGCAAGCUAACGCUUGAAUACAUUAGCAUGGAAUAAUGAAAGAGGACGAUCGAUCCUAUUUUGUUGGUUUCUAGGAUUGACGUA
rnacentral:rRNA from 1 species